UGGCUCUCGCAUCGAUGAAGAACGCAGCGAAAUGCGAUAAGUAAUGUGAAUUGCAGAAUUCAGUGAAUCAUCGAAUCUUUGAACGCACCUUGCACCUCUUAGUAUUCUGAGAGGUACACCUGUUUGAGUGUCAUUAAUUCUACUCCAUACAAAUUUUUCUUAAUGAAAAAGUUGUAAAGGGACUUGGGAGCUUGCAAUGAGAGUUGCUCUCCUUAAAUGAAUUAGCAGUGAUUAUUACUAAAGAUCCUUUGGUUGAUGUGAUAGUUAUCUCCUCUCAACCUUCUUUGAAUACUCAUUUCUGCUUAAAGUCGUCUUUGUGACUACAAGGACAGUUAUAAAUUUUAAGACAUGAUCUCAAAUCAGGUGGGACUACCCGCUGA
rnacentral:misc_RNA from 1 species